rnacentral:rRNA from 1 species
UACGAAGGGGGCUAGCGUUGCUCGGAAUUACUGGGCGUAAAGGGCGCGUAGGCGGAUAUUUAAGUCGGGGGUGAAAGCCCAGGGCUCAACCCUGGAAUUGCCUUCGAUACUGGAUAUCUUGAGUUCGGGAGAGGUGAGUGGAAUGCCGAGUGUAGAGGUGAAAUUCGUAGAUAUUCGGCGGAACACCAGUGGCGAAGGCGACUCACUGGCCCGAUACUGACGCUGAGGCGCGAAAGCCAGGGGAGCGAACGGG